GGUGGUGGCUCAGUGGUAGGGCACCUGCCUAGCAGGUGCAAGGCCCUGGGUUCGAUUCUCAGCACCG
rnacentral:tRNA from 1 species